CCUACGGGGGGCAGCAGUGGGGAAUAUUGCACAAUGGGGGAAACCCUGAUGCAGCGACGCCGCGUGAGUGAAGAAGUAUUUCGGUAUGUAAAGCUCUAUCAGCAGGGAAGAAAAUGACGGUACCUGACUAAGAAGCCCCGGCUAACUACGUGCCAGCAGCCGCGGUAAUACGUAGGGGGCAAGCGUUAUCCGGAUUUACUGGGUGUAAAGGGAGCGUAGACGGUGAUGCAAGUCAGAAGUGAAAGCCCGCGGCUCAACUGCGGGACUGCUUUUGAAACUGUAUAACUAGAGUGCAGGAGAGGUAA
rnacentral:rRNA from 1 species